GAAAACACACAAAUUUCAGAUUUGUAUCUUUUAUCAUUUUUCUCCAGGAUUGAAAUGUCAAAGGAUGCACUUCCUGAGAAAGCAUGCCAGUUGGACAGUCGCUAUUGGAGAAUAACAAAUGCCAAGGGUGAUGUAGAAGAAGUUCAAGGACCUGGAGUAGUUGGUAUGUAACUGAAGUUUUAGGUUUACACAUCAGUUUAUUCAAAGGAAUUUUAGACUUUGCCUCCAUAAAUGUGUUGUAUAGAUGUUGUUAUCAGUUAACUUUUCUAAGGCUAGGGGUAUAGCUCAGUGGUGUAGUGCUUGUCCAGCAGGUGUGAGGUCCUGGGUUCAAUCCCCAGCAAAACACACACACACACACAAAGUUAACUUUUCUAAAAUUAUACCAAACUCCAUUGUUCAGGCAUUGAUUUCUCUUCCUGAGGCUCAUUUGGGGUUAAUAUUCUUG
rnacentral:lncRNA from 1 species